rnacentral:rRNA from 1 species
AUUGAACGCUGGCGGCAGGCCUAACACAUGCAAGUCGAGCGGAUGAAGGGAGCUUGCUCCUGGAUUCAGCGGCGGACGGGUGAGUAAUGCCUAGGAAUCUGCCUGGUAGUGGGGGAUAACGUCCGGAAACGGGCGCUAAUACCGCAUACGUCCUGAGGGAGAAAGUGGGGGAUCUUCGGACCUCACGCUAUCAGAUGAGCCUAGGUCGGAUUAGCUAGUUGGUGGGGUAAAGGCCUACCAAGGCGACGAUCCGUAACUGGUCUGAGAGGAUAAUCAGUCACACUGGAACUGAGACACGGUCCAGACUCCUACGGGAGGCAGCAGCGGGGAAUAUUGGACAAUGGGCGAAAGCCUGAUCCAGCCAUGCCGCGUGUGUGAAGAAGGUCUUCGGAUUGUAAAGCACUUUAAGUUGGGAGGAAGGGCAGUAAGUUAAUACCUUGCUGUUUUGACGUUACCAACAGAAUAAGCACCGGCUAACUUCGU